CACGCCGUAAACGUUGAGAACUAAGUGUUGGGGAGACCCAGUGCUGAAGCUAACGCAUUAAGUUCUCCGCCUGAGGAGUACGCACGCAAGUGUAAAACUUAAAGGAAUCGACGGGGGCCCGCACAAGCAGUGGAGCAUGUGGUUUAAUUCGAGGCUACGCGAAGAACCUUACCAGGGCUUGACAGGAAACUUAAGACCCUAGAGAUAGGGGGAUAAUAAGUGAAACAGGUGG
rnacentral:rRNA from 1 species